UGAAUGCUGGUACCUUGGAUGCUGGGAUCUUGAUCUCGGCACCGGUUUGUGGGUUGCGGCCCUUACGAGCGGCACGCUCACGCACUUCGAAGUUACCAAAGCCGAUCAACUGAACCUUGUCACCCUUUGAAAGGGAGUCUUGGAUAGA
rnacentral:misc_RNA from 1 species